GACCUUAUGCUUUUGGAGCGGCCGAUGUCUGAUUAGCUAGUUGGUAAGGUAAUGGCUUACCAAGGCAACGAUCAGUAGUUGGUCUGAGAGGACGACCAGCCACACUGGGACUGAGACACGGCCCAGACUCCUACGGGAGGCAGCAGUGGGGAAUUUUGGACAAUGGGCGCAAGCCUGAUCCAGCAAUGCCGCGUGAGUGAAGAAGGCCUUCGGGUUGUAAAGCUCUUUCAGUUGAGAAGAAAAGAUUGUGACUAAUAAUUGCAAUUCAUGACGGUAUCAACAGAAGAAGCACCGGCUAACUACGUGCCAGCAGCCGCGGUAAUACGUAGGGUGCGAGCGUUAAUCGGAAUUACUGGGCGUAAAGGGUGCGCAGGCGGUUCUGUAAGUCAGAUGUGAAAUCCCCGGGCUUAACCUGGGAACUGCGUUUGAAACU
rnacentral:rRNA from 1 species